GAUUCGGCUCGGGCCUGUUUGAGUCGGCUCGAAGAAACGAGCAUUCGACUCUAAGGAGAUGCUGCGCUGGAGGAUCCGGCUCGGGCCUGGCAGAGUUGGCGCGAAGAGACGAAGCAGACGACCAGCCGACUCUUAGG